GAUCAUGGCUCAGGACGAACGCUGGCGGCGUGCUUAACACAUGCAAGUCGAACGGAGCACCCUUGAAUGAGGUUUCGGCCAAAGGAAAGGAAUGCUUAGUGGCGGACUGGUGAGUAACGCGUGAGGAACCUGCCUUUCAGAGGGGGACAACAGCUGGAAACGGCUGCUAAUACCGCAUGACGCAUUCGGAUGGCAUCAUCUGAAUGCUAAAGAUUUAUCGCUGAAAGAUGG
rnacentral:rRNA from 1 species